rnacentral:rRNA from 1 species
AAUCUAAGUCAUACCACGUUGAACACUGCCCCACACCCCAUCAGCACUGGGCACAUAAGCAACAUUGGGCCAGAUCAGUAGUACGGUGGGGGACCACGUGCGAACCCCUGGUGACGAUCU